UAUUAUUCACAACGUUUGUGAAGUCUAAAUGUACACUGUCUCAAACUGAAUGAGUGUUAUUUUUGUUGUAGGUGUGUUGGUGUAAAAUUGAUGCUGACUGAACUCAGGCAGUUGUGCUGGACCUUCUGUACUUUAUACAGGAGAUGACAGUAAACUUUCAAGUUUAAGAGAACUCAGGCAGUUGUGCUGGACCAUCUGUACUUCAUACAGGGGAUGACAGUAAACUUACAAGUUUAAGAGCCACCUGAUGAUGAGAAAGACAUUUUCAAUGUGGGCAUCUUGAUGAAGAAGAGUCCACAGUCACAAUAACAAGAUCAUUGAGCUGUCCCCUAAUUGUGGUCAGCUACAUGUUUAGUCUCUUAUGUGCUAAACAUUAUGUAGCCUAAGGAAGCAGCCCUGACUCUGUAGUUUAUAUAAAGGAGCAUGCCGAGUAACUAUCCAGAACGUAGGUCCAAAGCAGAAAAAAGGGCACCAAGCAGAAACAUACCAUCUGAACUCCUUCGAUUCCUGUCAGACCAGAAAGACUUUCAGAAUCCUUGGAAGAUUUAAAGCCAUUGAAGUAUCAGUAUUGGAGAGGAAGAAGACCCAGUUGUAUCGUCUAUUUCCUGCCAUCUUGCAGUUAACCUGGUUUCUUAAUGUAAAGUACUUGUAAUUUGCCCACUUGUCCUCAAUUAUCUUAAAGCUAACAUUUAAAACUAAUUUGCUAUGAGAUUAUUUGCCAAGACUUGUCACUGUGCGAUUCACAUGUCAAUAUGUAUUAUUGUGUGUAUAACUAGCUAUUUGGAAUUCAAAUGAUUUGUAUUCAUUAAAAAAUCUGUUUUAAUUGCAAAGUUGUUUUUGUACUAAUCAUUGUAAGUUCAUAGAUAACAAACUAUUUACUGCUUCUCUACACAUACAGUAUAGAAUAAAUGUUUUGUUUUACUAUUGUAAACCAUUAAUAGUGUAUUUCCCAUAUGUAUAUGUUUGUCCUUACCAAUUGCCAUUUCUAUGCUGCUUGAAGAGCAUUAAAUUAGUA